AUGGCUCAGAUUGAACGCUGGCGGCGUGCUAACACAUGCAAGUCGUGCGAGAAAGGGGCGUCGGUCCCUGAGUAGAGCGGCGCACGGGUGAGUAACGCGUGGAUUAUCUACCCAGAUAUUCGGGAUAACGGCGGGAAACUGCCGCUAAUACCGGAUACGCUCCAAUUUCGGUUGGGGGAAAGGCGGCCUCUGCUUGCAAGCUGUCGUAUCUGGAUGAGUCCGCGUCCCAUUAGCUUGUUGGCGGGGUAACGGCCCACCAAGGCUACGAUGGGUAGCUGGUCUGAGAGGAUGAUCAGCCACACUGGAACUGAAACACGGUCCAGACUCCUACGGGAGGCAGCAGUGGGGAAUAUUGCGCAAUGGGGGAAACCCUGACGCAGCGACGCCGUGUGAGGGAAGAAGGCUUUCGGGUCGUAAACCUCUGUCGGGAGGGAAGAACCUUCCAGGUCUGAACAAGGCCUGGAACUGACGGUACCUCCAAAGGAAGCACCGGCUAACUCCGUGCCAGCAGCUGC
rnacentral:rRNA from 1 species